UUCAGACACAAACAUGCUGUUGAAUACUAGUAGAAAGAGGAGGAAGGGAAGCGCUACUAAGUUACAUCAUGGCCACUGGCAGUUUGUACAUGCCAGAGUCAGCAGAGUACAGGACUCUGGGCAUUGACGAUUACAGCUUUUACAGUAGCUUGUUGGAUGAGGAGCUGCUACAGCUGGCUGUGGAGAGGAGCUUGGCUGAUGCCCAGAGAACUGGGGGCCUUAUGAGAUCCUCCACAUCAGCUGUAUCUGGCAGGACCCCCAACCCAUCUGGGCAUUCCCUAACAAUGUACCCCCUUUUGCCAACCCCGGCACUCCUAAUUCACACAGGUGAGCCUGCAUGAAUUUUCAACUGCAGGCUGAAUUGAAAAUGGAUUAAAAGAACUUUGACAUCUCACCCAUCUACUGUACAGUCGCGGCCAAAGGUUUUGAGAAUGACACAAAUAUUAAUUUCCACAAAGUUUGCAGCUUCAGUGUCUUUAGAUAUUUUUGUCAGAUGUUACUGUGAAAUACUGAAGUAUAAUUACAAGCAUUUCAUAAGUGUCAAAGGCUUUUAUUGACAAUUACAUGAAGUUGAUGCAAAGAUUUAUUUUUCAAGACCGCCCUGGCAUGCUGUCAAUUAACUUCAGGCCCACAUCCUGACUGAUGGCAGCCCAUUCUUGCAUAAUCAAUGCUUGGAGUUUGCCAGAAUUUGUUUGUCCACCCGCCUCUUGAGGAUUGACCACAAUUUCUCAAUGGGAUUAAGGUCUGGGGAGUUUCCUGGCCAUGGACCCAAAAUAUCGAUGUUUUGUUCCCCGGGCCACUUAGUUACCACUUUUGCCUUAUGGCAAGGUGCUCCAUCAUGCUGGAAAAUGCAUUGUUCGUCACCAAACUGUUCCUGGAUGGUUGGCAGAAGUUGCUCUCGGAAGAUGUGUUGGUACCAUUCUUUAUUCAUGGCUGUGUUCUUAGGCAAAAUUGUGAGUGAGCCCACUCCCUUGGCUGAGAAGCAACCCCACACAUGAAUGGUCUCAGGAUGCUUUACUGUUGGCAUGACACAGGACUGAUGGUAGCGCUCACCUUGUCUUCUCCGGACAAGCUUUUUUCCGGAUGCCACAAACAAUCGGAAAGGGGAUUCAUCAGAGAAAAUGACUUUACCCCAGUCCUCAGCAGUCCAAUCCCUGUACCUUUUGCAGAAUAUCAGUCUGUCCCUGAUGUUUUUCCUGGAGAGAAGUGGCUUCUUUGCUGCCCUUCUUGACACCAGGCCAUCCUCCAAAAGUCUUUGCCUCACUGUGCGUGCACAUGCACUCACACCUGCCUGCUGCCAUUUCAAACAACAGAAAUCUCAUACUUAAAAUUCCUCAAACAUACAUGUGUCAUAUCAUUUUAAAGGUAAUCUUGUUGUUAAUCCCACCAAAGUGUCCGAUUUUAAAUAUGCUUUUCAGCGAAAGCACUACAAACGAUUAUGUUAGGUCACCACCAAACCACAAUAAGCACAGCCAUUUUUCCAGCGAAAUAUAGUAGUCACAAAAAGCAGAAAUAGAGAUAAAAUGAAUCACUAACCUUUGAUUAUCUUCAUCAGAUGACACUCAUAGGACUUCAUGUUACACAAUACAUGCCUGUUUUGUUUGAUAAAGUUCAUAUUUAUAUAAAAAAAUCUGAGUUUACAUUGGCGCGUUACAUUCACUAGUUCCAAAAACAUCAAGUGAUUUGCAUAGCCACAUCGUUUCAACAGAAAUACUCAUCAUAAAUGGAGAUGAUAAUACAAGUUAUACACAUGGAAUUAUAGAUAUACCUCUCCUUAAUGCAACCGCUGUGUCAGAUUUCAAAAAAACUUUACGGAAAAAGCAACCCAUGCAAUAAUCUGAGACGUCGCUCAGAAAUAUAAUAAAAUUAGCUGCCAUUUUGGAGUCAACAGAAACCAGAAAAUACAUGAUAAAUGUUUCCUUACCUUUGAUGAACUUCAUCAGAAUGGAGUCCUAGGAAUCUCAGGCCCACAAUAAAUGCUUGAUUUGUUCAAUAAUGUCCGUUAUUUAUGUCCAAUUAGCUACUUUGGUUAGCGCGUUUGGUAAACAAUUCCAAAGUCACAAAGCGCGCCUGUGGUACAGAGAUGAAGUAGUCAUUCAAAAAUCAUGUUAAACACUAGUAUUGCACAGAGUGAGUCCAUGCAACUUACUAUGUGACUUAUUAAGCACAUUUCUACUCCUUAAGUUAUUUAGGCUUGUCAUAGCAAAGGGGUUGAAUAUUUAAGACAUUUCAGCUUUUCAUAUUUUAUUAAUUUGUAAAAAUUUCGAAAAACAUCAUUCCACUUUGACAUUAUGGGGUAUUAUGUGUAGGCCAGUGACAAAAACAUUCAAUUUAAUACAUUUUGAAUUCAGGCUGUAACAGAACAAAAUUCGGAAAAAGUCAAGGGGUUUGAAUACUUUCUGAAGGCACUGUAAAUAACAUGUCAUAAAGGCCAUUCGUUUUCACACCCACCUUUUGCUUCUGACGGCAACUACUGCUGGAUAAAACAGUCAACAUCUGAAAGAUCAUGUGUUGAAAUGGUAACACUGUUAUGAACUAAUUACAUUGAGUUGAUAAUAUGUUUGCCGUUAAAGUGCAGUGGACAUAGCCAAAUCAAGACCUGUCAUCAGAUAACUAAAAUUGAGUACAGUGCACAAAACAAUAUUUAAGUUUGGACAUUUGAUUGUAUUUACAGGGUCAAGCAGUUGCAAGGAAAACAUAAAAUUACUUUUUAAUAGUUUUAUCCUCUUCCUUUCCUUUAACAAUUUUUAUGUGAGAUGAUCUCCAGUCCCUUUAGAGUCGAUUGAUGCAUCUGUGCGUCAAUCUAAUUAACAUUUUCCAUCAAAAUCCGUUUGUUUAAACUAGAUAUACAUCCGCUUAUUGUUUGUCAUACUUCUGCAUCUGUGGUGGGAAGUGGCAGAGCUACAGCGCUGUAUGUCAGACCCCGGUGACACAGCCAGGGGUCCUAAAAUGUUCAAUCAAAUCACUAAAUGAUCCAUGGCAUGACCAUCUUAAAACAAUUCCAUAUGUUAGCUUAGAAGGUAGAACC